AUUGAACGCUGGCGGCAGGCCUAACACAUGCAAGUCGAGCGGAUGAAGGGAGCUUGCUCCUGGAUUCAGCGGCGGACGGGUGAGUAAUGCCUAGGAAUCUGCCUGGUAGUGGGGGAUAACGUCCGGAAACGGGCGCUAAUACCGCAUAAGUCCUGAGGGAGAAAGUGGGGGAUCUUCGGACCUUACGCUAUCAGAUGAGCCUAGGUCGGAUUAGCUAGUUGGUGGGGUAAAGGCCUACCAAGCCGACGAUCCGUAACUGGUCAGCGAGGAUGAUCAGUCACACUGGAACUGAGACACGGUCCAGACUCCUACGGGAGGCAGCAGUGGGGAAUAUUGGACAAUGGGCGAAAGCCUGAUCCAGCCAUGCCGCGUGUGUGAAGAAGGUCUUCGGAUUGUAAAGCACUUUAAGUUGGGAGGAAGGGCAGUAAGUUAAUACCUUGCUGUUUUGACGUUACCAACAGAAUAAGCACCGGCUAACUUCGUG
rnacentral:rRNA from 1 species